rnacentral:rRNA from 1 species
AGUCGGGCCUGCUCGGUGAAUAAGUUUUUAACAGCUGCGGUAUUUUAACUGUACUAAGGUAGCAUAAUAAUUUGCCUUAUAAUUUGAGGCUAGAAUGAAUGGUUUGACGAAGGUUAAUCUGUCUCCAUCUUAUUUUUUAGAAUUUAAUUUUUAAAGUGAAAAAGCUUAAAUUUUUUAAAGGGACGAGAAGACCCUAAUGAGCUUAUAAUUUUAUUAUCAUUAUUUAAAACAUUUAGGUGGUGGUAUAUAAAUUUUAAUUGGGGUGAUUAAGGAAUAAAUUGUGUAUAGUAACUUCCUUAAAUUAGGUAUUUGUAGAUAAAGUAACCAAUAUAAUAUUGCUUAUAAUAUAGUUACCAUAGGGAUAACAGCGUAAUUUGUUUAGAGAGUUCUUAUUGAAAAACGAGAUUGCGACCUCGAUGUUGGAUUAAAGUAACCCUAAGGUGCAGAAGCUUUAGUAGGUAAAUCUGUUCGAUUUUUAAUACUUUACGUGAUCUGAGUUCAGACCGGG